rnacentral:rRNA from 1 species
CCUACGGGAGGCAGCAGUGGGGAAUUUUGGACAAUGGGGGAAACCCUGAUCCAGCAAUGCCGCGUGUGUGAAGAAGGCCUUCGGGUUGUAAAGCACUUUUGUCCGGAAAGAAAACCUUUGGGCUAAUACCCUGAGGGGAUGACGGUACCGGAAGAAUAAGCACCGGCUAACUACGUGCCAGCAGCCGCGGUAAU